UGAUGACAGGGGCAAAAGUAAAAAAUCCUAUUGAGCUUGCUCAUAAAGGAUUUUUUAUUUGGGACCCGCAAAACACGAGCAUGUAGCGUAAUUACGCGGAAUGCGAGUGUUUUAGAAUUGCGUAAGCUUCAUAAAGAAGCGAAGCAAUUCGUGUCAUCA
rnacentral:sRNA from 1 species